rnacentral:lncRNA from 1 species
ACUGCCACCUGGGAGACUGCUGGUAAAGAUGGGAGGUGGCCUUUGCCGCUUUCCAUCUUCUCACUGCAGUUUCUUCACGUGGGCCACUUGUACUUAAAAUGUCUUCUUAAUUUAUUCUUUUUACUUCCCCAGCUCCAAUUUGUCUACAGAUUUACAAAUUUGUUUUAUAGUUUUAUGACUCAAUUUGUAUUUUCGGUCCUAUGAAGCUUUUUGCCUUAAAUAUUUUUCUCUGUUUAUAAGAAUGUGCUGUUUCCUAGGCCAGUUUUGUACACACUCUUCCAUAGAAUAGAUCCAGAAGAAACACAACAAUACUGCCUUCAUCAUAUCAGGAGAUCUUGAUACCAAAUACGGGUGUUGCCUCCAAGAUGCAAGAUCCUGAGGGCUCCAAAGAAUCCACUGUCCGUCACAAAUCGACGGUCCGCCAGCUCAGUUUCAGAGACGUGGUGCUCCGCUGCAGGCCUCAUCCUCAGGUGCACCCUGGCAGUCAGCCAUCUGAAGGUACUAUGGAAAUUCAGUUACUCACUCUUGGGAGCAGAAGGAUUCCAGACCAUUCCUGUGUGCACCCUGGCAGGGAGCCAUCUGAAGGAGGGUGGCCCAGCAGCAGCUCAGCCUGUGCUCUCACCCACCUCCUCUGCACACACCAGUUUCAGGGACCACCUGGAGGGGAGCGGACCAGAGAGACUUCCUCGGAAUAGGCUGUGGCUCUUCACAAGGUGUCUUCUAUGCUUUAUUUGGGAGCCAUUGCCUUGAGCGUUAUUUCCCAGAUGGUUUUCUAAUGUCACCAACUGAAGAAAAGACCCAUGCACACAGGACACAGCAUGAUCUGAUGCUCACAGCGUUUUCCUUCCUCUCUGAAAACGGACUCAGCGAUUCUGGCAAGCGGUACUUACUCUGAGAUCACCCGUUUGCUAAGGAAAAAUCUUAGUACUGAGAAAGGUGACACUUUCCUCCCUGCUUUUGCUGGAGAGACACUUUGGUUAUGAGUUAUUUCUAGCAUAACACAGUUUAUUUCAGAAGUCCAGCUCAAUAGCAGACCAAGGCAUGAACAACACAUGAAAAUUUAUGUUGGGAAAAUAUAUAUUGUAUGUCUGCUUGAACUGUGGGUUCUUGAUUAAUACAAAACUGGUUGAUGAAGGUUGUUACCUUCAGGAAAAUGCAAAUCUAGUGGAGGGACAAAACUCACAGUAACAGUAUUUCAUCAUAGCCACCAUGAGGCAGUACAUUAUGAAGCAUGUCAGUGAUGAAUUACUGGCAGGCUGGUCUGUCAUUGAAGCUACACUCUGUUUCUAGCUUCUGUUGCUUCUGCUGUCUCUCUCCUAACAUCUGCAUAUUCCUCCACUUUGUGGUGGAGGAAGCAUUAGGGCUGAUAUAGGGGAUUUCCAGUGAGUGUAUAAUUCAGUGCAGAAUUGGCAGGAAUAUAUUCCAUGGUUAGGAGCUGGAGAAAGUAAGAAAUAAAAAUAGACCUUGAAGAAUGGGUAGGAUUUUCAAAAUCAGAGAUAAAGACGCAAGAAAGAGAAUUCAGUUUUUCAAGUUUCUAAGCAAUCAUAUUUACAUGCAUAGACAUUUUGCUGGUUUCUGUCUUACUAAUGUAUACUACACUGUGUCUAAUCACUCUGAGGGCUGGUAUUUCGGGUCUGUUCCAGACACUCAGGAAUCAUUUGUUCAGCUUGUUCUAUAUGCUGGAAACUGUUGCAGGGAUGGAUAUAUGCAGUCCUUGUCCCAAAGCAGCUUAUGACUCCAAGAGCAAGGGAUAGAAUAUGAACAUGUGUCUUUGGGUUACUUCUAGGGGUAAGAAUGAGUUCUGUGGGCAGAUGCAUACAGGAAGUGGGGAGAGGGAGAAUGAGAUACAAACUAUCCAGGCAGGAGGCAUUGCAGUAAUCAAAGUGAACUAUGAGAGAAGCCUGGGGUGUUGUAAAAAG